UUAUCCCAACAUGCACUGGGGUGAAGGAAGUGAAGUGAUGUUGGCACACCAUCCCGGCACUCUUAAAACAAGGUACAGAGUGACACCAGUUGUGACAAUAAAAAAUGAUGCCAUCGACUGCCAUCCAUUCAAGUCACGCUUGGUGACCUUUAGACAGGAGACCAAUUCCAGUUUGGUGUCCUGAGGUUUGAGUAUAAAAGAAACUCUCCCAGCCUUCUCAGAAGUCUUGGACUGACAGGCAGACAGAGACAUUUACAAGCCGACUGGAGCUGUGAUGCAUCAUGGCAACAUGAAAUUGAAACAGAAGCCGCGUGAAGAGCAGGCUGAGCCUGACAGCACUGAGGGU